AUUUCCUAUUCUUAUUCAGGAAGUAAAUAAUAUCGCGAGGGCUUUGUUCCGAAAACGAAAGAGGGUUGAAAUAUUUUUAAAACAGAUUUGACUUGGUUUUCGUUAUUCAAGCUCUUUCACGGUGUGAACUAUUGUCGUCCAUGUCUGGAGACCAGAUGCAAGUCAUGUUGGUCACUGUGCCUUAGAAUUAAGUGAUGGAACCUACAUAAGCUGGUGGCCUAAGUCUCAAUGUGAUGCUAAAAAUCUAAGAGCUAGAGCAUUUGCAAAUACUUCGCACAGUUUUGAUAUUGAGCAAGAAGGAGAUAGGCAGCCAAAAUCUUAUAGGAUUCGUGUCUCGGAUGGAGAACUGAAUGCCAUUAAGCGUUGGUGGGCAGGCUUCAAGGACAAAACAGACUACCAACUUGUCUCAAACAAUUGCUCGACUGUAGCUUACUACGCCCAGGAGGCGGCUUUUCCAUUUCUGGAAGUCCUAAAUGAUGAAGUUCCUGUUUGGGUGCCCACAGCAAUAGAAAUGGUUGCGGUAGACCUGGCAUCCGGAAAAAGGAAUUUCGAUCAGAAAAGAAUUAAAGAAAUUAAGGAAGUGGCGCAUGCUGAAGCUAAAAACGCCGUAGGGUCUUUUAAAGGGAUGUUUGUGAAAGGUAAAACAACCGGAAAAGCUGGAGGAAAAUGACUAUUUAUUCCGAUGCUAGGUUAAAAGCAUGGUUAUAUAAAUGUAUGUAGCUUUUAACCUUCAAAAUUAAAGCAUGCAUGUGCUUUUUACAUUUUUCGGACAAUUCUGUGAGGCAAUGAUAUUUUAUAUUUUGAAUUAAACUCAACUGAUACAUUUCAUUAAUGAAAUACUAGUAAAUGCUACCAAAAGUAG